UUGAUAUUUUAAAAUUACUCAAUGGUUAAUUUAUAGAUUUUUCUAUAAGAACAUUUACGUAUUUGAUAUUAAAUUAGACAAUAAUUCAUUACCGAACAUAAUCAAUUUCUACGACUUUGAAUAAAUAUUCAUUUGUGAACAUAAUAUCAUUGCAUGUAUUUGAUAUGCAUGACUAGUGGUUACAUUCAUAUAUGUUUAGUACCAAACAUUGUGUUCAGUACUAAAUCGUGUAGACAAAAUUGCCGACCACCACCUUCGCAGCCCCUCCCUGCCUCCCUCCGGUUGUGCAGGACCACCAAACACCCAUCCCUUCACCCUCCUAUCUCCAACAAAUCAACCCCAGUUAUCUCCCCUUCGAUUUUCAGUCGUGAAACACUCCCAUCAUCUUCUUCUUGAACUUGUUCCUCACCUGCACCACCACUCUAUCAUUCAAGACCACUAAGUUUUGGAAAAUCAAGAAAAAAAAUCAAGAUUUUGAGAUUAAAAAAAAAAAAUCAGAACUAAUAUUCCUCCACCAGCACCGAUUCAACCUCCAAAUCGACCACCAUCUGAACCCUUAGUCUUAAUCUUGCCAUCGCAGAUCCACCUGCAACUUGAGAACCAGAAGCAGAAAGAGGAAAAAACUCUAAAAAACGAUUAUCAUUGUAAACCAUUUGUGUGUAUAUGUGUUCAACCCUCCAAACACAUACACACACCCACACACACACACACAAAAUUCCUUUUAUCACAUCAAGAUUCAUGAACAAAAAUAGGACACAGAAAUUGACCAAUCGAAGCUAUCCUGAAACUCUUAACCUAUUCAAUUUACUAUAGGUGGUGGUGACGAAUCAGAUCUGAAAACCAAGCUGAGAAAUAAUCCCAUCUUCGGGAGGCUGUCAAACUCCGGCAGAUUGCCAUGACCACCACUGCCUUUACCACCGGACUUCUCUUCCUCCAUUGGCAGCUCAAUGGUUACAGAAAGAGAACAGAGAGGUCGGCGUCGUGGUUUUUUAUAGGGGAAAGGUUGGUCUGCAAAUUUUGUUUCUGAUUGAAGAAAGAAAUUAGGAACAAUAAAUCUAAUUGGAUCUGUUAUAUUGUUUUCUUAUACUGAUUGAAGAAAGAAAUCAAAAGGGUGUUCUAUUAAUUGAAGAACCCUAAAUCUAACUGUAUUUUUCGAUUUCUUUCUGGGGAUGAUGAAGAAGUUGCAGGUGAAGGAUUUUGAAUAAGAAAAUGAAGGUAGGUGGGUUCUGAUGAAAAACAACGAAGAGAGAGAGAGAGAGAGAGAGANGAAAAAAAAAAAAAAAGAGAGAGAGAGAGAGAGAGAGAGAUAGAGAGAGAGAGAGAGAGAGAGAGGAGGGCAACUUUCUUUUUUCUUUUUCCUUUUUUAAUUUUUAUAAUAAAAAAACUAAAAAAAGAAAAAACAAAGGGUAAAAUCGUCAUUUUAUAAAAAAAUCAAGACAAAUGGACCAAACUCGCAACAAAAUGAAAACCUAUGGACCGCCAGUGCUAGCACAAACCUUUUUGGCCCAAAGUGGCAAUUUCCACCUAACCACAAGGACCAUUCUUGCAAUUUUGUCAAUCGUGUAUAAAUAUGACCAAUUUUUUGGUUUCUGCAUAAAAUUCAGUUAUGAACACUAAUAUGAGAUUUUGUAUAAAUAAUAAAUUUUCAUAAAUGAAUAUUAUUCCUACUGUAUUAGAAAUUGAUUAAUAUUGAUAGGCUAAGAUUUAUGUAUU
rnacentral:lncRNA from 1 species